rnacentral:rRNA from 1 species
UACGUAGGUGACCAGCGUUGUCCGGAUUUACUGGGCUUAAAGGGCGCGUAGGCGGCUCGCCAGGUCGGGGGUGAAAUCCCACAGCUCAACUGUGGAAGUGCCUUCGAUACCGGCGGGCUCGAGGAAGGUAGGGGUGCGCGGAACUUCUGGUGGAGCGGUGAAAUGCGUUGAUAUCAGAAGGAACGCCGGCGGCGAAAGCGGCGCACUGGACCUUUUCUGACGCUGAGGCGCGAAAGCCAGGGGAGCAAACGGG